rnacentral:rRNA from 1 species
GCAGCGAAAUGCGAUAAGUAAUGUGAAUUGCAGAUCUCAGUGAAUCAUCGAAUCUUUGAACGCACCUUGCGCUCUUUGGUAUUCCAAAGGGCAUGCCUGUUUGAGUGUCAUUAAAUUCUCAAAGCAUUGCUUUGGAUAUGAAGAUUGCUGGCAUAGUCAGCUUCUUUGAA